GCCAUUGAUGUUGCUCUUCUCGAUCCUCCUUGUGGUCUUGGUGACUCUUAUGAACGGGAUGUCUAGAGAAAUUCAUAGGCUUAUCGGGAGGUUCAAAAGAAAGAGCAUAGUAGAAAUUAUUAGGCUCAAGGAUGGGAUGGACAGCCGAAUCAUGGGAUUGAAAUGUUUGGAAAUUGGCUAUUGAAACUUCCUUUCCUUGUCUGGGAGAUGAUUCCUUCUCUAUCUCUAAGAUUUUUCUAUGAAGACUAGUACAAGAAGGAUGUCCACGAAUGAAGACAUACCUUUCUUUACUGAUAGAUAAAGAAAGAAAGACUCUACCAAAGGGUAUAUGAUU
rnacentral:lncRNA from 1 species